GCCAGCCUUUCCAAGUGAAUUUUCAUGAGACUGUGUUUCACCAAACCUCUAAGGUAAGAGAUACGGAAAGGCAUGCGUUGGUUUUGAUUCAUGAAUUAAUGCUCGUGUACUGGGUUUGUGUGGCCAAGCUUUGAUAGUCAGGAGGUACAAUCACUUCUGUGAGAUGCUGCUGGAAGUUUCCCCUGUGUGUGGCAGAUCCAAUGCCAUAUGUCUCCAAGACAGACCCACUGCUCACCAAGGCUGUGCCAAUAAGAAAUGGUGGUAAUGCCUCUUUGAUAACAUAUUUAAGAAGGGAAAAAAAAGUUAUUGUGCAGAUGUAACUGUGGACAGAGAAGAGAGGGGUGAGAAUAUGUGAGAGGAAUGAGAAUAUGUAGGAGGAACCAUUCUGAAAGCACUGAAGUUGGUGGAGAUGGAAGGGUAGAAGGCUGACAUUCUCCUGCAAGCCAUGGUGAAGACCAUGGUAAAUCAGCUGUUCCCAUGCACCCCAUGGAGAUCCAUGGGGAUGUAAAGAUCCACCUGUACCCCAUGAAGGGGCCCCAUGCUGGUGCAGGUGAAUGCCUGAGAGCAGGCUGUGACUCUGUGGGAUGCCCCAGCUGGAACAGCAUCCUGGCAAGGAGCUCCAGACCAGUGGAGAGGAGAUCCAGUGCUGGAGCAGGUUUCCUAGAAGGACUUUCGAUCCUGUAGGAGACCCACGUUGUAGCAGGCUGUGCCUGAAGGAUUACAUCCUGUGGAAGUGGUUUGUGGAGAGCUGUUGCCUGUGAGAUGGACUCACAUUGGGUAAGCUCAUGGAGAGCUAUCUUCUGUGAGGGGGCAUCAGAGUGGAGCAGAGGAAGGAUGCCUGUCCCUGAGCAGCAGCAGAAACAUGUGCUGAACUGACCACAACACCCAUUCCCUUGUGCUGCUGAGUGGGAGAAGUUGAGAAGUUGGGAAAUGAUAGAGUGGCUUUGAUGGGCACUCGGCAUCCAUCCAGAGUCAACCCACCACACUGGCUACUGAAAAGUGAGGAAGCAUCUGUAUGCACUUGAGAUCCCCUCUUCCAGGCAGCUGCAUUAUGGCCACAGUUGUGACAAUGUCUCCUCUGGGCAACAACACGUGGGAACAGUAGCAAAGUCUAUUUUUCUUUGUUUCUUUUUGCCAGCAGACAUCUAGUAAUGUCAGAACCAGUGGUGCACAUAAGGCUCCAUGAGAUUCACAGCCUGCAGAGAAAGUUUCUCUGUCAGUUCACCUCGAAAGUUUCUGUUGCACCUACUCUCCACUUCAAGAAGAUGAACGACCGAUUCUUUGAGAAACUAAGAAUGAGUAAACUAUUUGCUUUUGAGCAAUGCAGAGUGCAUGUACACUCUUAUUGUUUCUCUCCACAGAGCAUUAUGUCUUAUGGCUAGCAACAGGCAGAUAUAGAUAAACUCUAGUUUUGGUAGGUCUGUUCCUUCAAAGCGCAUGGUGGCACUGACAGAUGGAAUUUUGCUGAGUUAUAAUAGCUGAUGUAGUACUCAUUUCUUACUGUUCCACAUAAAAAUUUAUAGGGGAUUGGGAUAGUUAAAGAGAUGCAGUCCUCAGGAAAUUUUUUGCAAAUUCUGCUUUUUUUGCUUUGGUCCAUUCCAGAAGUGGUCAGGUUGGACAGAGCUCUGAGCAGCUUGAUCUAGUUGAAGAAUGUCCCUGCUCAGGUGUGUUGCAGGGCUGAGUUGGACUAGAUAACCUUUAAAUGUUCCUUCAAAUCUAAACUAUUCAAAUGAUUCAAUACCUCAUGUUUUGCUGUUGAAGAAGAAAGUCUAAUCUGAAUUCUUCCAAAGUUUCAUUUAUGUUUCAGUGGAAAAGUAUACAACACCCUAAAAAUACUUUUUUAUAUUUAAAAGGACACUGCAUUUCAUUAUUCUUUAUUAAAAGCGAUCACAGACACCAGCUGACAGACAUCCUCCAUUUGAAUUUACAAUGAAUGUUUUAACCAACACUUUUUCUCAAAAAAAGGAAAAAGGUUUCUUUGCCAAAGAUGGAUUGUUAAGAAGUCCUCAGUGGAUAAUCAGCAGUCUCUUGUCUCUUUGUGGUUAUGAAUAUUCAAAAACUUGGUGAACUCUGGGGGCUUCAAGGGGACAGUGAUAUGGUGGAUUGACCUUGUCUGGGACCCAGGAGCCAACUAACCUUCUCUAUGAUUCUCUUCAGCACAGUGGGAGCAUAAAGAAAAGAAGAUGGGAAACAAACGCUCAUGAGCUAAGAUAAAGUCAGUUUAAUAAAGCAAAAGAGAAUUUUGCACAUGUGCAAGCAAGGGGGGAAGAAAACCUGAAAGAUUUUAUUCUUUAUUUCCCACCAGUGAAUGAUAUCCAGCCUCUUCCUGAGAAGCAGGGCUUCAACACAGCAGAUGCUCCAGAAUACAAACACCACAAACAACGAAGGCCACACCUUCCUUCUCCUUCCCCUUAGGUUUUGUACCUGGACAGACAUCCUAUGAUGUGGAAUACCCCUUUGUUCAGUUGGGGUUGGCUGUCCCAGCUACAUGCCCUCCCAGGAUCCUGCCCACCCCCAGCCUUUGGCCUCUGUGGGGUGGAGUGCUGGAGAGAGAGGCUGGUGCUGUGCCAGCACUGCUCAGCAGCAGCCAAGGCAAUGCUGUGUUGUCAACACCUUUUCAGCUCCUAAAGCAAAGCACAGCACCGGGAGGGCUGCUGUGGGAAAAUGAACUCCACCUCAGCCAGACCAAAUACAAGUGUAAAGGCUAUAAUAGGUGUGUGCAGAAAAAUCCCUGGCAUUUGGGUGAGUUAUAUUAUUUGUGUGAGUUACAUUAUCCUAAUUGAGAAGUCAGCCAUCGGACUGCAUUUGAACAAUCUGAUUUUGUUUAAAGCUCCUUUUAUGGUUUCCAAGCAUGCUAAAAUGCAAAUCUGUGUCUGGAUUACUCACAAGGCAAUUGCAAAAUCUCUCAUUAUGUAAAAUGGCCACGUUUGGAGAUCCAUAAGCCAGUAGACAUUAAUUGGGAGCAAUUAAGCCUACAUUGAGUCCAAUGGGAUGAAAUGUCAGAGAGGAGGACAGUGACUCGAGGCAUAGGAGUAAUUUAUUAAAGAAUCAGAGCUGUCUUGGUUGUCUUGCAGCAUGCGCUGGUGUACAAGUCACCAAACUAUCUCCCUCUGUACAAUGAGAAUUUCAGGCUCCAGCAACUAUUGUGUGUAUGUUUCCAUUGUAGGAGCUUGAUUAAUAUGAAACUCCUCAGUAUUUGAUUUGGUUAGUGAUCAUUCUCCUCUUUUGUACAAGAUACAGAAGAAAAAUAACCUACAAAAUGUACUUGUAGAAAAUGCAGGUGUUAGAGAGACAAAGUCCUUUUUGUCAAUACAGUUUGCAAUCAGGAGCUACAAACACGGUUUGUGUUCCUGAUGGAUAUUCAGAACCUGACAGGAAAGCUGUGAAUCAGGGAACUUGUAGGCCAGAGAAGGACCAUAGGAGCUGUUUACUGCACAGAAGAGCACCAAGACAGACAAACAUGUUGAAAAUUACUGUUGCUGAAUCUCAGAGGCAUGAAGCAACACCUGACACAGAUUAUCUGGAAUAGCGUUCUUCUUCAUUAGAUCCACAAACAGCAAGAAAUUAACAGCAAAAUCUGCAGGCCCAUCUUCUAAUAGUAGUACACUUAUGGCCAAUGUGAAAAAUAAAACUGCAGAACUGUUCCUCUUUCUAUGAUAACUAAAACCUCAUCAAAAUGAGGUAGGACAAGACUUCUGAGAGUCAUUAAUUUGUUGUUCUGCUUGAACCAGGGAAAUGUUAAAACAUAACUGAUAACAUAAUAGUCUGCCUGCACUGUAGAUUUGGAAAUGUUAAAGUCAAAGUUGCAUGCAGAAACUUAAUAUCUUGCAUUUGCUAUGAUUUAGCCUUUAAUUACAGAAUGAUGCUUUGUGUUUUCAUAGAAUCCAGACUAAAUUACUACACCAGAUAUAUGGAUGGCUUGUUGGAAGCCUGUGUUCAAUAUCACCUUCCUUCCUACUUCAUACAGACCAGUUUGAAAAGAAGAUUAUGAAAUUUCUCACAUCUCUUGUCCUGGUAGUUGCCACUAAUGUAUUUCAGAGGUCUGAUUACUUGCCCAUUUGCUGAGGCUGUAUUCAUUGUGCUGCAGUGUCUGUUUCAGCUUUUCAGAGGAAUGUUUAUGGCUGCACGUGUUAGUUUCCUGAUGUCUCUGUACUUGAGUUAUACCUCAAUUCCCUGCAAUUUAUUAAGGAAGUGAAAUGAUUUUUAGCAUGCAGAACUGUCUGUGCUUCUGUUCUACUUCUCUGCUGAGAAGCUCAUUAUGAAGAAAUCUUUCCAAUCUCUGACCAGUGAAAGCUGGUCAUUAAUAAAUGAUGAGGAAUUAUC